UGCUGGUUCCUACGGUAAUGCAAAGGGGACACUGACGCACGCGUUCAGUACAUCAGCCGCUUAGACCUUUUAACAACUUUCGUUGCCACAAUUAUUAUCUCCAGUUUAAAAACAGAAACCAGGCAACUGCAGUGCGGAAACAGAAACCAGCCCCUUCAGUAUGAAAUAAAUCGCUCAGCUCAACACUGGUCACCAGGACUGCUAACUGCAGGAGUUCAUGCCAUGAUGGAGAACUACUAUGUGCUAAAGAAGGAAUCAAGACAAGAGGAGCUGGGGAGAUGAAAUGAGAGAAGUGCAUACAGUCUACAGAAAAUGCAGUGCUGAUGAAAGGAGGUCAGAAAGGCACAAUCUCCCGCCCCUGACUGUGGAUGGGACAAGACAUACACUGUAUUCACUUCCUACAGCUUUCAAAGAAAAGUUACAUUGCUAAAGAAAACGGUGAAUUAAAGCACUAUAAACUCGGAUUCUCCCAGGCCUAGAGCCGACAAUGAGCAGCUGCUAACCAUUGGUGUUUCCUGCCUGACAGCUGCAACACCCUGAUCUCUGCCUCCGUUUUCCAUGGCCUCUUUCCCUUCUCUCCUCACCUGAGGGAGGACCCUUAUUGCUGGACGUAGAACCCAUGGUAAUUCAGGACCAUCUCAACAUGAGAUGUCAACAUAAUUACAACUGCAAAGAUCCCUCUACCAAAUAAGGUCACGUGUUCAGGAUCUGAUACAUAAAGGAAGCAUCACUGAGCCUGUACCACCACCCAAGGUCAAGAGUUUCGAAAGAAGAAAGAAAAUCUGUCCUUACUAAAAUAUCAUGAAUCCCAUGUGUGUGCAAUGCCAGGAUGGAGGUGAUCGUGAAGUUGCUGAAGACAAAUAUCUGGUAAUUCGCAAUGACAGAACAUAGUCUGAGAAGCACACAGUAUACCAAGUGACAUGAGUACUAUUCGAUAAAUCGACCCAACGACCCAGACCUGGGGAUGGAUUGCUGUAGUUGUUGUGCUAGAAUGGCGGCUCAUCUGGACAGAUCACACCAGGAAGGUAAAGGUGGGCAGUGGACAAGGUGAAUGCUGGGAAGGUAUAGUAAUUGCAAUGGCAACAGACACCUGGGGGUGACAUCACCGUCAUAGCUGGAUUUGGAGGUGACCUGCGACCAUAAAGCCAGUUCCUGACUGUAAAGCCAGUUCCUGAUGUCAACAGCAGCUGUUGGGAGACGUGUCUCUUUCAGUGUAAGAACUUCUGUCUAGGCUUUGCGGAUGACCAAAUUUCUAAAUCUUCACAAAGCUCCAGCAUCCGAAGUGCUGAGCAGCAGAAAUUGAAACAUUGUGGCAUAAAAAUACCUGGGUAAGACUGGGCACCACAACUCUACAUACUAAUUGGCUGUGGAUUUCUGUAGUGGACUCCAUAUGUUACAAAGCGGAAAGUUUCUUGAUGAAGAAUGAAGACUGCAUUUACCAGAGUGUAUAAGAACAAAUACUUAUAGACAAUGGUUAGGGAUUAUGCUGGUUGUGUAAUAAAAUUAGUGGUUAUAGAUUCUCUUCCAAUAAUUAUGAUUUCACUAAUUCUAAUUAACUAGCUAGGUCUCCUGUAGUAAGAAUAGUAUCUCUCCAGUUGAGUGAGUCUCAACUCCAAUUAGAGAGCAAUUAAGUACAACCAAGGUAUGUCUGGCCCCUAAUGCACUUGUAGAGUCAUCAUGCCAUGCUGGUCAUUGAUGUGGUUCAUAAGUGUCAUGGCUGGGUAAAACUGUUGCUUGCCUUUCUCCUUUGGAAGUUUGUAUGAUGCUUUAGGAUACCAUGAAGGUUAAUCCUCAAGGAGGUUAUCGUUCAGUUCCAACUCACAGGCCUCUGGCUCUGGACCUCCUUUGGGAGGGCUUAGAGGGAGGAAAGGACAGGAAAGGGAGAGAUGUUGUAGUUAAAAUACAAUCCAAAAUUAAACAAGAAGGAGAAGACCUGGGUGUACUGUAACUUCUCUGAUGCUACUUAAAAGACAAAUUCCUUCACUUCUCUGAAUAUUAUUUUCCUUUUCUCAAUGCUGAAGGAUUCCCUAAUUCACCUUCUAGUGCUUUCCUUCCCACACUAAGGGAAUUG
rnacentral:sRNA from 1 species